UACGUAGGGGGCAAGCGUUGUCCGGAUUUACUGGGCGUAAAGAGCGCGCAGGCGGUCGUUCAAGUCGAGUGUGAAAGCCCCCGGCUCAACUGGGGAGGGUCACUCGAUACUGAUCGACUCGAAGGCAGGAGAGGGUAGUGGAAUUCCCGGUGUAGUGGUGAAAUGCGUAGAUAUCGGGAGGAACACCAGUGGCGAAGGCGACUACCUGGCCUGUUCUUGACGCUGAGGCGCGAAAGCGUGGGGAGCGAACAGG
rnacentral:rRNA from 1 species